rnacentral:tRNA from 1 species
AAUAGAAUAAGCUAAUUUAAGCUUCUGGGCUCAUGACCCAGAUAUGAUAUUUCUUCUAUUA